AUUGAACGCUGGCGGCAUGCCUUACACAUGCAAGUCGAACGGUAACGGGCCUUCGGGUGCCGACGAGUGGCGAACGGGUGAGUAAUGCAUCGGAACGUACCUUUCAGUGGGGGAUAACGUAGCGAAAGUUACGCUAAUACCGCAUAUUCUGUGAGCAGGAAAGCAGGGGAUCGCAAGACCUUGCGCUGAUUGAGCGGCCGAUGUCAGAUUAGCUAGUUGGUGAGGUAAAGGCUCACCAAGGCGACGAUCUGUAGCGGGUCUGAGAGGAUGAUCCGCCACACUGGAACUGAGACACGGUCCAGACUCCUACGGGAGGCAGCAGUGGGGAAUUUUGGACAAUGGGGGGCAACCCUGAUCCAGCCAUGCCGCGUGAGUGAAGAAGGCCU
rnacentral:rRNA from 1 species